rnacentral:rRNA from 1 species
GUAGGUGGCAAGCGUUGUCCGGAAUUAUUGGGCGUAAAGCGCGCGCAGGCGGUUCUUUAAGUCUGAUGUGAAAGCCCACGGCUCAACCGUGGAGGGUCAUUGGAAACUGGAGAACUUGAGUACAGAAGAGGAAAGCGGAAUUCCACGUGUAGCGGUGAAAUGCGUAGAGAUGUGGAGGAACACCAGUGGCGAAGGCGGCUUUCUGGUCUGUAACUGACGCUGAGGCGCGAAAGCGUGGGGGAGCAAACAGGAUUAGAUACCCUGGUAGUCCACGCCGUAAACGAUGAGUGCUAAGUGUUAGGGGGUUUCCGCCCCUUAGUGCUGCGGCUAACGCAUUAAGCACUCCGCCUGGGAGUACGGCCGCAAGGCUG